rnacentral:rRNA from 1 species
UACGAAGGGGGCUAGCGUUGCUCGGAAUUACUGGGCGUAAAGGGCGCGUAGGCGGCUCUGUUAGUCAGGCGUGAAAGCCCUGGGCUCAACCUGGGGACUGCGCUUGAUACGGCAGGGCUUGAGGGCAGAAGAGGCUCGCGGAAUUCCCAGUGUAGAGGUGAAAUUCGUAGAUAUUGGGAAGAACACCGGUGGCGAAGGCGGCGAGCUGGUCUGCACCUGACGCUGAGGCGCGAUAGCGUGGGGAGCAAACAGG